rnacentral:rRNA from 1 species
GGGCAACGGUAGGUCAGUAUGCUCCGAAUGCUAUGGGCUACACGCGCAAUACAAAGGACAGGACAAUGGGCUGCUGCUCCGAAAGGAAUGAUAGCUAUCCCGAAACCUGUUCGUAGUUCGGAUUGAGGGCUGUAACUCGCCCUCAUGAAGCUGGAUUAGGUAGUAAUCGCGUCUCAAAAAGGCGCGGUGAAUAUGCCCCUGCUCCUUGCACACACCGCCCGUCAAACCAUCUUAGU